rnacentral:rRNA from 1 species
CUAGAGGACAUCAUAGGAGCAUGGAAUUUCCGGUGUAGCUGUAAAAUGCGCAGAUAUCGGAAGGAACAGCAGUGGUGAAAGCGGUACUCUGGGGUGUGUCUGACGCUGAGAGACUAAAACUAGGGGAGCGAACUGGACUAGCGCCCCUCGUAGUCGUAGCCCUAAUCGAUGGAUGCUAGAUUUGGGGCCGAGAAGGCUCCGUGUAGCAGUUAACGCGCUAAGCAUCCCGCCUGGGGAUUACGAAUCGCAAGGCUAAAACUCAAACGAAUUGACGGGGCUCGGCACAAGCAGCCGAGCGUAGUGGUUUAAUCCGCAUGCUACACGAAGAACCUUACCUGGGUUUGACAUGUAAGAGGCAGUAAAGCGAAAGCGGAGCGUCCCUUCGGGGAGCUUACACAGGUGCUACAUUGCGGUCGUCAGCUCUUGCCGUGAGUCGUCGGGUUAAGUCCCAUAACGAGUGCAACGCUGGCCUUUAGUUUCAAGUGUCUAACAGGACUCCCGCCGGUAA